GACGAACGCUGGCGGCGUGCUUAACACAUGCAAGUCGAACGGAAAGGCCCUGCUUUUGUGGGGUGCUCGAGUGGCGAACGGGUGAGUAACACGUGAGUAACCUGUACUUGACUGUGGGGUAACUUCAGGAAACUGGGGCUAAUACCGGAUAGGAGCUUCUGCUGCAUGGUGGGGGUUGGAAAGUUUCGGCGGUUGGGGAUGGACUGGCGGCGUAUCCGCUUGUUGGUGGGGUAGUGGCUUACCCAGGCUUUGACGGGUAGCCGGCCUGAGAGGGUGACCGGCCACAUUGGGACUGAGAUACGGCCCAGACUCCUACGGGAGGCAGCAGUGGGGAAUAUUGCACAAUGGGCGGAAGCCUGAUGCAGCAACGCCGCGUGCGGGAUGACUGCCUUCGGGUUGUAAACCGCUUUCGCCUGUGACGAAGCGUGAGUGACGGUAAUGGGUAAAGAAGCACCGGCUAACUACGUG
rnacentral:rRNA from 1 species